GAUGAAGAACGUAGUGAAAUGCGAUAAGUAAUGUGAAUUGCAGAAUUCAGUGAAUCAUCGAAUCUUUGAACGCACAUUGCGCCCGCUAGUAUUCUAGCGGGCAUGCCUGUUCGAGCGUCAUUUCAACCAUCAAGCCCCAGGCUUGUGUUGGAGCCCUGCGGCCGUCCGCAGCCUCCUAAAAUCAGUGGCGGGCUCGCUAUCACACCGAGUGCAGUAGUUUACUCUUCGCUCAGGACGUGUAGCGGGUUCCGGCCGUGAAACCCCCCAAUUUUCAAGGUUGACCUCGGAUCAGGUAGGAGUACCCGCUGAACUUAAGCAUAUCAAUAAGCGGAGGA
rnacentral:misc_RNA from 1 species